rnacentral:lncRNA from 1 species
AAAUGAUCUGGUGCAUUCAAGUCCAGACAGGAGAAGGAUUCUAGAAUUGAGGUGGAAGCAAACCCAUGGCAGAUUAUCUGGGAAAGAAAGGAACGCAAUUUCUGAUGUAAUUUAACAGUACCAGUAUGACAGGGCAUCUCCUUGGUGUGGCAGAAUAAUGAAGUAAAAAGCAGAAAUGAAUCCAGGGUCAUAAUAUAGUGUUUGAAUGCCCAGGACCUGGAGGUAAGAGUGAACAGCAUUCCCCAGGGAUGG